AGCCUCCUGGUCACUUCCUGACUCUGAGAGGCGGUCUCCCUCAGGGGCUUGCCCCUAGUCUGGCGAAGGGUCCUGGGCUGUCUCCCUGCUUGUCCCCUCUCCUGGGUCUGUGGUCUCCCAUUACACGUCUUCCUCGGAUGAGUCCUCUGAGGGGGGCAUGACACUGACUGAUGUAUUUGAUGUCAACAGAAUAGGUUGAAAGAUAGAGACCCUCAGCUGUGGCAGGAGAGGUGCAGCAGCCAGAACAUCUGCACAGCGGGUCAACUUUUUUGUCAUUUGCUACUGCCCUUCCUAUAUGAAGAGAAUUGCCGCCAGACCAUCUCUGGAGGAAGACCCUCCCCCCCUCCACUUUAUUGCAGCAGCUGGCCUUGAGUCCAAGACAUCUGGGUGGGGAGUGGAGGAUAAAACUCCCAGGGCAAGGCUGAUGGUGACUGGAGAAAAGACUUCCUGUGAGGUAGUACAAAGGAGGGGUUCGUCUGGUGAGAGAAGUAGAAAGGGUGAAGAAUCGACAGGAAGUGACAGAGGUGGUGCCCUGUCAGGGUCAAAUUCCAUCUUGCUCUGGCAAGUGUUGCACUGAAAAGACAAGUGCCAUCUCAAAACAAAUGUCCUGCCAACAGACAGUCACAGAACACUCUCUCUCUUUUUGUCUUUCUGCUGGAACAAGCAUUUUGGAGCAGGACAGGAGGAUUGCACGAAGAGGCUUACAUUCUUAUCAUGGCACAGUGCUGGGAUAUGCUUCACUAAGUGAAAUAAGACAAGCACAAGGGGCCACAUUACUUAGCACCUAAAUCUAUCAGAAUUAACUUACAAGCCCAGAAGAGGGAAAGAAAAGAAAGUGAUGAUAAUGAAAAAUGGUGAACAGACACAAAGCACAAAACUUGCACAA